GAUGAACGCUGGCGGCGUGCCUAAUACAUGCCAGUCGAGCGAACGGACGAGAAGCUUGCUUCUCUGAUGUUAGCGGCGGACGGGUGAGUAACGCGUGGAUAACCUACCUAUAAGACUGGGAUAACUUCGGGAAACCGGAGCUAAUACCGGAUAAUAUUUUGAACCGCAUGGUUCAAAAGUGAAAGACGGUCUUGCUGUCACUUAUAGAUGGAUCCGCGCUGCAUUAGCUAGUUGGUAAGGUAACGGCUUACCAAGGCAACGAUGCAUAGCCGACCUGAGAGGGUGAUCGGCCACACUGGAACUGAGACACGGUCCAGACUCCUACGGGAGGCAGCAGUAGGGAAUCUUCCGCAAUGGGCGAAAGCCUGACGGAGCAACGCCGCGUGAGUGAUGAAGGUCUUCGGAUCGUAAAACUCUGUUAUUAGGGAAGAACAUAUGUGUAAGUAACUGUGCACAUCUUGACGGUACCUAAUCAGAAAGCCACGGCUAACUACGUG
rnacentral:rRNA from 1 species